AAAGUAAGGAAGUGUCCUUCACUACUAACUCUCGAUGUUACGUUGUCGGCCGCCAACGUAACCCUCCGCGAAGUUAGAAGCCAUACACUCCGAUCAAACUCUAACUUUUUAGAGUUAUCACAAAACCCAAUCAUAAUACUUUCGCUCACAAGUCAAUUAGACCACGUCUCUCACGAGCCUAAUUCCUAUAGUCCAACCGGCCUAAGGUUUGCUAGAUCCCCUAAGACUCAACCCUAGUCUCUGAUACCAAAUUAAUCUGUCACGCCCCGGGACCGGCGGAGGCCCUCCCGGUAGCGUGCCCAGACCCGCCAUAUGUCUACACAUAUAAGGCGUCUACGAUAAAAGCGGAAGUAAAGCAAGAGAUAGAGUAAAUAGAAUGAGUAGUAACUAAUGAUAUCAGAGCCAGUAAAGUUCUAUCAUCUAGACCAGAGUAAAAGAAACAUAUCUAAACAAUAAAAGCAACCAUAAGUAGUACACUAUCUAUCUCAAAAGUACAAAAAUGGUGGUCUCUAGUACACUGGUAAGACUCUCAACCUCCCAUAAAAUAAAGCAACGAGAGGUGGACCACCUAUCGAGUCGUCCUCGAAGGAAGCUAGCUCGAAGCAACUCCCUUCCCGCGAUCCCUAGCCUCUCCCGGCGUGGAAGGCUCUGAAAGAAAAUAUAAAACAGAGGGCGUGAGAACUAUAAUUUUAUAGUUCCCAGUGGGCAAUUACUGACCUCAGCUCAAUGCACCACUAGGCCCAAAAGAAAAGGGUAAGUAACGACAAUAAUAAUAAGCAAUAAUAAGCUAGUACAAGAACUACUGAAAGAAAGCAUAUAUGAAAUGCUAUAUUACUAUAUCUCAAAUAAGCAUGAUGUCGUGGUGAUGUACAUCUACGCUAUCAUAAGAAUAAUAUAUCCAAUGCAUACUAAUGUGCCUCAACAUAAUUAAACAAGUAAACCUCACGAUGCAAUAUGUCAAUGCAUAAGGAGCAAGCUCUAGCGAAGUAACCCAGUAUACUAUGAUGCAACGAAUGAAACAGGCAAGUAUACUAUGUAUCCCAAUGCUAUGUCAUGAGCUCGUCAAGUAAUCCAACUACUAAGCCUAUCUAGUAGUGAUCAUUCAUUCUCAACUCUGUGUCGAUUUUCAUUUUCAAUUAAGGACCUACCAAAGAUAGUCCAGCAUGUGCCGCCUAAGUGCCUGUGGUAGCCCAACAUCCCUACUCUUGGAAUGUGUCUGUCCCACUCGACCCCGUAGGCUUCUCAAUGCCGCACGAGCGAACAUAAAUCGCGUAGGCUGACUCCGUAGUGCCGGCUUGUAGGGAGCGACCUUCACAAGUAUGUGCGAAUGAGCACAAAUGGCAAGCAAGCAUAGUCCAAGUCUCAAGUAUCCAAUCCUCAUGUCUCUAACAUGGUAUCGUCACUAGCAUCCCGAAGAUCUAGUUUAAGUCACAAAGCGAAGUUCCAAACACUCACUACGCCUAGUGCCUCUUGAUGACACUUAGGCAAUUUGAUGUUCAACAUUAGCCAAGUCCCGCAAUGGCUCUAACCACCAGGUUCACACAUGUCCCGAGCUCGAUGCCGCUUGAUGACAUUAGCUCUCUAAUUCGCACACAUUCUAGUUCAAUACCUCUAUAUGGCAAUCUUGUCAUCUUUCAUGUCAUAAUUAAAUCAAAGUUUAAAUGCAUGAAUCAAGGCUCAUUUACGCUAUGGAAGUAUGGGACCAAGUUUCGUAUAAAAUGCCAAAUGCAAACCAAAGCUCUCUCAAGCAACUCUCUACUACAUAGAGGUCCAAAAUUUUACUAUAUGCAAUAUAGGCAUUUUAAGCAUUCAUAUUUCACAAUAAAUACGUAUAACAAGAAUAUGCAUGCUUUUUCAAUUAACGAUACUUAAUUUAUCACAAAUGAGAAUUUCUCAUUGUGUGGCUAGGUCAAACCCACCGAACCGUCGCGUNAUGGCAAUCUUGUCAUCUUUCAUGUCAUAAUUAAAUCAAAGUUUAAAUGCAUGAAUCAAGGCUCAUUUACGCUAUGGAAGUAUGGGACCAAGUUUCGUAUAGAAUGCCAAAUGCAAACCAAAGCUCUCUCAAGCAACUCUCUACUACAUAGAGGUCCAAAAUUUUACUAUAUGCAAUAUAGGCAUUUUAAGCAUUCUAAAUUUCACAAUAAAUACGUAUAGCAAAAAUAUGCAUGCUUUUUCAAUUAACGAUACUUAAUUCAUCACAAAUGAGAUUUUCUCAUUGUGUGGCUAGGUCAAACCCACCGAACCGUCGCGUAGUGCCUCGUUUCGCCGAACGAAGUUGUCCACGAGUCUUAAAAUACCCUAAAAGUAUUGAGCGAAGAGAUACGCGGGCAUUACGAUCAACUAUAAGAUCAAAUAUUAACCAAUAAGACAAAAGAGCUAAAACUCACCUCAAGAGAAGAAAUCUCUUCCAAAGCUCUAAAAGAUAGCUAGAACCCUUCCAAUCCAAGCCCAAGGAAGGUUCUAAACCAACUAAUUUAGCCCCAAAAGCCCUAGAUCAAAAAUGCCCAAAACAAACCCUAAGUCUCCAUUCUAGGGUUCCAAAGGUAAAACUUACCAAAUCAAGGAUCAAAGGGUAGAAUCCGAGUACUAACCUCCCAAGGUGCCUCCAAACUAGCUCCAAAUCUUCUAGGGUUGAAGAUUGGUCCACCACCAAGCUCUACAAGCAAGCUCCAAGCCUUGCAAGGGUGGAAUGGUGAGGAAGGGGUUGAGCUCCAAGCUCCCUCAAGCAAGCUCCUCUUCUUCUUCUCCUCAUUCUUCUCUCUCUAGCAAAGGUGUGGAGGGAGUGUGGGGAGAGAAAUGAGGAUGAGAGAGGAUGGGAGGGCUAUUUAGGCCAUCCAAAGUAACAAAAUCCCAGGAGGUCCCCCAAAAAACCAAAAUUACAACAGCCCGGUCUAGGCAAUUUUCGCCCAGAGGGACCGGUCUCUCCUCAGCAGGGAUCGGUCUCUCGCUGCGAACCCGAAAAACCAUCGUUCGGGAACCGGUCUCUCCCCGCGCGGGACCGGUCUCUCAUGCGAAGACGCGCUCGGGGACCGGUCUCGCCUGCCAGGGACCGGUUGCCUCAGGGCUGCCACAACACUGCUCACUGGGGGACCAGUCUCUCCUUCCAAGGACCGGUCCCUGAGAGUAAAAACUCUCAGGACUUGUCCAGAAUUCCAGUUUUCGAACUUCUUAGGUCGGAAAACAUUCUACGACCCCCCACCAAGUGUGGAAAAGCUCGAAACACAUCCAAUCACUCAAACCUCGCAAUUCGCAACGGCCCAGUGUGUUACAUCUCAAGUAGGAAUAGCUUUAAAUGCAUAAAGGUAGUGCUCAUUUUCACAAUAGGAAUUAUGAUUCCAAGUCUCAAUAGGAUGCCAAUCAUGUAUAAGUUCCACAUGCUAGUUCUCUACUACAUAGAGGUCCGAAAAUUCAUCACACAUAACAUAAGCAUGUUAAGCAUCCCGAAAUUCACAAUAAUUACAUUUAUCAUGGAAAUGCAUGAAUUUUUACUCUACUAAGCAUAGAACAUAGGAUAUGAGAAUUUCUCAUAUGCUAGGCUAGGUCAAACCCACUAAACCGUCUCGAAAUCCUUCGUAAGCUCAAACGAAGUUGUCCACAAGUCUUCUAGCACCCUAGAAGCAUCAAAAAGUGAGCUACAAGAAGUAAACGAACAACUACUAGCUCAAUCAUUAACCUACCAAGCAAAAGGGCCAAAAUCUCACCUAUAGAGUAAAAUCUCUUCUCAAGCUUCAAAAGAAAGCUAGAACCCUUCCAAUGAAGUCUAGUGAAAGGUUAUAAUCCAAGAGAUUGAGCUCCAAAAGCCCUAAGUCAAAAAGCCCCAAAAUCAACCCUAAAAUCCAAAUCUAGGAUUUCAUCUCCCAAAAUCUACGAAAAAUAGGUCUAGAGGGGAGAAAUAAGCAACUAACCUCAAGAGGAGAUCUAAACCAAGCUCAAAAUGCUUAAGGGUUGAAGAUUAAUCUACCACAAGGCUCCAAAUCUAAGCUCCAAACCUCCAAAAGUGAGAAAUGAGAAAGAGGAAGAUGCUCCAAAGCUCUCUCAAGCUUGCUCUCCAAUUUCUCCUUCUUCUUCUCCUUCUUCUUCUCUCUCUAACAAGGGUGUGGGGAGGGUUGAGAGACUAGAAAUGAGGAAGGGAAAGGGUGGAAUGGCUAUUUAGGCCAUCUAAAAUAACAAAAUCCAAAGAAGCCCCUCAAAUUCCCAAUAUUGCAUCAGCCCGGACUAGGCAGCUUUCGGACUGAGGGACCGGUCUCCCCGACUUGGGACCGGUCUCUCGGUCUGCCCCCCAAAAUCCAACGCUCGGGAACCGGUCUCUCCCUGCGUGGGACCGGUCUCUUCCCGCGGAGAAGCGCUUGGGGACCGGUCUCAUACGCGAGGGACCGGUUGCAUCAAGGCUGCCGCAAUACUGUUCCGGGGGGGGGACCGGUCUCUCAUAGCCAGGGACCGGUCCCCGAGAGUCAAACUCUCAGGACUAAUCCAUAACUCAGCUUUUCGAACUUUUUAGGUCGGAAAACAUUCUACGACCCUCCACCAAGCGUGGAAAAGUUCAGAACACAUCCAAUCACUCGAACCUCGCAAUUUGCACAGGUCCAGUGUGCUACACACUGUUCGAUUGUUGCAAUCGAUAGUGGCGUAGUAUUUGGUCAACCAAUCCAUGCCCAAAACAACAUCAAACUCUCCGAGUUUAUGCAAAGCUAGCAAGUCCACGGGCAUGACCCAAUCUCCAACCUGAACAGGGCAACUAGGGUAAAACUCUCGAAUAUCCAAAAAGUGAUCGGGUACCACAACUCGUCCCGGAUGCAACAAAGAUGUCAGUGGGAUGCCAUGCAACUCGGCAAACAGCCAGUCUAUGAAUGAAUGCGAUACACCGGUAUCAACUAAUGCUCGUACUCGAAUACCAUAAAAUAAAAUGAUACCUGCGACCACAUUCUCGACUGCUGCCUCCUCCUCAAUCUGGGCCGCGUACAUGCGCUCGCUCGGGGGCUGCCGUGACCCCUCCAACUGCCACUGCACCAGUGGCCGCCCGGCCUGCUGGUAUACAGAAGGUGUCCCAUGGCUGGGACCCGGUGAAGCUGGUGUAGAUGCCGAAGAUGGCGCUGGUGCUAAACCCCUCGGACAGUCCGACUAGAAGUGACCCUCCUGGCCGCACAGGUAGCACCUACCUCGACUGCGGGAACACUGCAGUGGGUAGCGAGGACCACCACAGAUCACAUAGCGUGGUGCCUGGCAACGAUCCGGUGCUCCUCGCUGCGUAGACGAGCCACGUCCUCGCGACUGGCUCCGGCUCCUAGGAUGCCUCGGUGGCCUCCGUGAGUGCGUCUGGCUCGCACCCUCAGCCGCAGGCCUCUUGCCUUUCCCCUUCUCCAAGCCCUCGCGACGCUCCUGAAGGUCUGCCGCUCCAGCCUCCACGAUGAGUGCACGGUUCACAACCUCCUGGUAGGUUUCGAGGUUAGAGAACUGCACCAACCGAAAGAUCGAAGGCCGCAAUCCACGCUCAAAAAUGCUGGCCUUGUCCUCGUCAUCCCGUACUACGAAGGGUGCAUAGUGAAGUAGCCGAGAAAACUCUCUCUCGUACUCGGCCACGGUCCGCUCCUCCUGGGGCAAACUGCGCAAAUCCUGCUCCAUCUUCCUCUUAACGCUAGUAGGGAAGUAGUAUGCAAGUAGGAGCUCCUUGAACCUCUUCCAGGUGAUCGCGGUCAAGUCGGUGCUUCGGUUCUCCUGAAUAUCCAACCACCAAUGGUAGGCCUCGCCGUCCAAAAAGUGUGUGGCGAGCCAAACUCUGUCCCUCUCUUCCACGAAAGUGUCGCGAAAAAGUUUCUCCAUAUGCAGUAACCACUUCUCUACUAUCCAAUGGUCGACUUUUUCUCCAUCGAAGAUCCUGGGGUUACACCUCCUGAACUCGUUGAGGCAAUCCAUGAGCCGAUCCCGCUCGGCUCCCUCGGCCAUCACAGGGAAAGCUGCCCUCGCCGCAGGUAUCAGGACCGGUGGUACUGCAACCACCUCCUCCCGUGGUGCGGUCGCCGGUGCCGCACGCGAAGAACUGGGCGCGGGUGUAACACACUGGACCUGUGCAAAUUGCGAGGUUCGAGUGUUUGAUCUCUGUGUCGAGCUUUUUCAGACUUUCUGGAGGGUCGUAGACAGUGUUCCGACCUAUGGCUCGCAUGGCGAGAAUUGUGGGUUUAAACUUGUACCAAAAUCCCAAAAGGUUGGAUUGUUGGUGUGCUCUCGGGUUAGCCUCAGCUAGGCUGUGUACCGGUACGCCUUGAUGGUUGUACUGGUACAUAAGGGAUUUUCUGCCAACCCGAGGCUCGGGUUGGGCAGUUUCGCAGGAGGUGUACCGGUACAAUUUCCCGUGUACCGGUACACAAUGCAGAUUUUUGGCUGUUUCGUUGAGGGGUGUGUUUUCAAUUGUUGCAACUUCUAUUUAAGCACACCCCAACCCCUUGGGGGCUGUUUUGAGCCCUAGAACAGUGGAGAGCAAGGUAAGAGGAGUUCCCUUUGUUUUCUUCUCCAUUUUUGAUGGAUUUUUGGUGGGUUUUGAUCUAUUUCCUUCUCUCUUUCUUACUUUUUGUAGGUUUUCCACCAUUGGAGAAGCUUGAGAUCUUGGUUGGAGCUUAUUUGGAGAUCAACCUUCAACCCUAGAGAACUUGGAGCUUGGUUUUGAGCAUUUUGUGAGGUUAGUAAACCUAAUCUCCCAUUUGGAUUAAGUUUUGAAGGUUUCUUUUGAAUGAAACCCUAGAUUUCGGAUUCUAGGGCUAGAAUUGGAGAUUCUUGAUUUGUAGCUUCUAGAACCAAAUUGAUUGGUUUAGAACUUUAAUUUAGGUUGGUUUUGAAGGAAUCUAACUCCCUUUUGGAGUUCGUGGGGGAUUCCUUAGCGUUCGGUGAGUUUUCUCCAACCUAGCUAGAGAAGCUUAAUAUUUGAGCUUAGCUUUGUUCGUGAGCCUUGUUUGACACUUGUUUCUACAUCCUUAGGGUACUAGGAGGCUAGUGGACACCUUCGUUCGGCGAAACGAGGAGUUCGACAAAUCGGUGGGUUUGACUUCAUAGAAAUGGGGCGAAAUGGCCUCUAUGCAUUCUAAACUCUUCGUAAAGUAUUUUUAAAUGCAUUUCUAUACUAAUUGGAAUGUAUGUGAAUUUUAGAACACCUAAAAUGCAUGCCUUAUGUGUAAGUUAAAUUUCACUCUAUAUAGUAGAGCAAUCAAGGUUAUUGUCAUGCAUGUGGGGUGGGUUCAUGUGGACGAAUGGGAUUCUCGUCUAGUAUGCUAAUUUAGCUCAUGUUCAUGUAUGGGAAACAUUGUACUAUAUUUGGACUUAUUAGCAAAAAGUGUCAUCAAGAGGCACUUGAAACUAGUAAACUAUGAACUGCAACUUAGAGACAUGAUGAUAGGCUAUUGUACAUCUGCUAUAUUCCAUGUUAGAGACAUGAUGACAUAGAGAUAGGCCAUUGAGAUACUUGAUAUAUUCCAUGUUUUUAGACAUGAGGACUUGGUACUUGAGACAGAUCAUUGCUUGCUUGCCAUUGUGCUCAUUCGCACAUGCUUGUGAGGGUCGCUCCCUACAAGCCGGCACUCCGGAGAUAGCCAUCGCGACACAUGCUCGCCCGUGCGAGAUUGGGCGCCGAAGUGGAUUGCCGUGGGGGAGGCUCAUCCCUAGAGUGGGGAUGUUGACUACCACGGGGCCAUUAGGCACGGCGCAGGCCAGACAGCCUUCGGGUGGGUCUUAUAUGAUUGGGACUUAGUGACAGAACAUGCUAUGUGAACUUUAAAACUAUUAAAGUGGACUUGGACUAGAAUAGUAAACAAUGACAUCUUUACUAUUUUUGCAUUGAGGACAUCGGAUUGGUUGCAUUUCUAUGCUUAUGCAUGUCAUACACAUCCAUGUACAUUCAUGAUAUCGUUGCUUUAUUACUUAUGCAAAUCAUGCUAAGUAGAGACUCUAUGUUAUAGUAAGUUACAUUUUACUUACCUUUCGCUUUACUACAUUGUUAGUCACUGACCUCUUUUCGUAGCUUUUGGGCCUUGUGGCGCAGUUCACUGAAGUCAGUAAUUGCCCACUGGGAACUAUUUUUAAUAGUUCUCACGCCCCUGUUUUCUGGUUUUCUUUUCAGAGCCUUCGGCACCGGCGGAGGCACGGGAUCGCGGCAAGGGGAUCGCAUAGCUAGCUAGCGAGGAGCGGUUCUUUGCCUAGGUGGUUUACUCUUUUUUUUUGUAGCUGAGAGAGAGAGAGAUUUUGUAUCCAUGUAUAGAGACCACCUAUGUAUCUACUUUAGCACUCGUAUUUGGGAUUUCCUUGUAUUACUUUAUGCUUUUAUUAAUGGAUUCCAGCUUUAUGCUCCUUUCUCUAUUGUAGAACUUAGUAUUAUAUCAUGCUCUCAUACUCCUAGUUGUCUUUUAUUGUCGCUUUAUUUAUUAUUGCUUUUAGACGCCUUAUAUGUUUUAGACGUAUGGCGGGUCUGGGCACGCGCCGGGCGGGCUUCCGCUGGGUCCCGGGACGUGACAGCGGGGAAUUGCACCCUCGGCGCGACGUCCACUACAGGUGCUUGCGGUGUGGGGACCUGAGUCUCCCUAGAAGCUGCUGUCUGCUGUAGCAAGAGAUCCUCCAAGUGCUUCAUCCGCGCCUUCUGCUGCUGUGCCACCUCGGCCUGUCGCUGCGCCGCCGCCGCCUGCUGCGCUACAAGAUAAGUGAGGACCGCAAGCUGGGACCACAAGUCGCGGACCUCGCUAGAUCCGAAAGUCGCGGAGGUUUUGACCUCCUCGAGGUGUGUCGCAUCGUCCGCUCCGGUAGAUUAGGAACAUGUAACCGGCAUCGUCACUACAAAAUAUAAAAGCGCAAGUUAGUAACCCGCACUAUCGGAUCCCCGCUCAAAAUAACCAAACCCCAAAUCUUGCGAAAGUAGGGAAGUGUCCUUCACUACUAACUCCCAAUGUUACGUUGUCGGCCGCCAACGUAACCCUCCGCGAAGUUAGAAGCCAUACACUGCGAUUAAACUCUAACUUUUUAGAGUUAUCAUAAGACCCAAUCGUAAUACUUUCGCUCACAAGUCGAAUGGACCUCGUCUCUCACGUGCCUAUAUCCUAUAGUCCAACCGACCUAAGGUUUGCUAGGUCCUCUAAGACUCAACCCUAGGCUCUGAUACCAAAUUAAUCUGUCACGCCCCGGGAACCGGCCUAGGCCCGCCUGGCGCUUGUCCAGACCCGCCAUAUACCUACGCAUAUAAGGCGUCUACAACAAAAGAGAUGCGAAAGCAAGAAGAAACAAGUAUCUAGAGAUAUCAGAGCUGCUAACAACUAAAACUAGCAACAAGUAGAGAAGAAGUAAAGUAGUCCACUAAGCAUAAGCAUAAAAAGGUACAAUAAGAAUCACAAGAAAAUCCACAGUGGGCUGGUCUCUAUACACAGGUAACUCUCCAAAACCUUUCCAAAAUAAAACAUCGAGAGGUA
rnacentral:lncRNA from 1 species